rnacentral:rRNA from 1 species
UACGUAGGGUGCUAGCGUUGCUCGGAAUCACUGGGCGUAAAGCGCACGUAGGCGGAUUGUUAAGUCAGGGGUGAAAUCCUGGAGCUCAACUCCAGAACUGCCUUUGAUACUGAUGGUCUCGAGUUCGGGAGAGGUGAGUGGAACUGCGAGUGUAGAGGUGAAAUUCGUAGAUAUUCGCAAGAACACCAGUGGCGAAGGCGGCUCACUGGCCCGAUACUGACGCUGAGGCACGAAAGCGUGGGGAGCAAACAGG